GACGAACGCUGGCGGCGUGCCUAAUACAUGCAAGUCGAGCGAUGAAGAUUGGUGCUUGCACCAAUUUGAAGAGCAGCGAACGGGUGAGUAACGCGUGGGGAAUCUGCCUUUGAGCGGGGGACAACAUUUGGAAACGAAUGCUAAUACCGCAUAACAACUUUAAACAUAAGUUUUAAGUUUGAAAGAUGCAAUUGCAUCACUCAAAGAUGAUCCCGCGUUGUAUUAGCUAGUUGGUGAGGUAAAGGCUCACCAAGGCGAUGAUACAUAGCCGACCUGAGAGGGUGAUCGGCCACAUUGGGACUGAGACACGGCCCAAACUCCUACGGGAGGCAGCAGUAGGGAAUCUUCGGCAAUGGACGAAAGGCUGACCGAGCAACGCCGCGUGAGGGAAGAAGGUUUUCGGAUCGUAAAACUCUGUUGGUAGAGAAGAACGAUGGUGAGAGUGGAAAGCUCAUCAAGUGACGGUAACUACCCAGAAAGGGACGGCUAACUACGUG
rnacentral:rRNA from 1 species